GUGGCGGCAGCUACACAUGCAAGUCGAGCGGUAGCACAGAGAGCUUGCUCUCGGGUGACGAGCGGCGGACGGGUGAGUAAUGUCUGGGAAACUGCCUGAUGGAGGGGGAUAACUACUGGAAACGGUAGCUAAUACCGCAUAACGUCGCAAGACCAAAGUGGGGGACCUUCGGGCCUCAUGCCAUCAGAUGUGCCCAGAUGGGAUUAGCUAGUAGGUGGGGUAACGGCUCACCUAGGCGACGAUCCCUAGCUGGUCUGAGAGGAUGACCAGCCACACUGGAACUGAGACACGGUCCAGACUCCUACGGGAGGCAGCAGUGGGGAAUAUUGCACAAUGGGCGCAAGCCUGAUGCAGCCAUGCCGCGUGUGUGAAGAAGGCCUUCGGGUUGUAAAGCACUUUCAGCGGGGAGGAAGGCGGUGAGGUUAAUAACCUCAUCGAUUGACGUUACCCGCAGAAGAAGCACCGGCUAACUCCGUGCCAGCAGCCGCGGUAAUACGGAGGGUGCAAGCGUUAAUCGGAAUUACUGGGCGUAAAGCGCACGCAGGCGGUCUGUCAAGUCGGAUGUGAAAUCCCCGGGCUCAACCUGGGAACUGCAUUCGAAACUGGCAGGCUAGAGUCUUGUAGAGGGGGGUAGAAUUCCAGGUGUAGCGGUGAAAUGCGUAGAGAUCUGGAGGAAUACCGGUGGCGAAGGCGGCCCCCUGGACAAAGACUGACGCUCAGGUGCGAAAGCGUGGGGAGCAAACAGGAUUAGAUACCCUGGUAGUCCACGCCGUAAACGAUGUCGAUUUGGAGGUUGUGCCCUUGAGGCGUGGCUUCCGGAGCUAACGCGUUAAAUCGACCGCCUGGGGAGUACGGCCGCAAGGUUAAAACUCAAAUGAAUUGACGGGGGCCCGCACAAGCGGUGGAGCAUGUGGUUUAAUUCGAUGCAACGCGAAGAACCUUACCUGGUCUUGACAUCCACAGAACUUUCCAGAGAUGGAUUGGUGCCUUCGGGAACUGUGAGACAGGUGCUGCAUGGCUGUCGUCAGCUCGUGUUGUGAAAUGUUGGGUUAAGUCCCGCAACGAGCGCAACCCUUAUCCUUUGUUGCCAGCGGUUAGGCCGGGAACUCAAAGGAGACUGCCAGUGAUAAACUGGAGGAAGGUGGGGAUGACGUCAAGUCAUCAUGGCCCUUACGACCAGGGCUACACACGUGCUACAAUGGCAUAUACAAAGAGAAGCGACCUCGCGAGAGCAAGCGGACCUCAUAAAGUAUGUCGUAGUCCGGAUUGGAGUCUGCAACUCGACUCCAUGAAGUCGGAAUCGCUAGUAAUCGUAGAUCAGAAUGCUACGGUGAAUACGUUCCCGGGCCUUGUACACACCGCCCGUCACACCAUGGGAGUGGGUUGCAAAAGAAGUAGGUAGCUUAACCUUCGGGAGGGCGCUACCACUUGAUU
rnacentral:rRNA from 1 species